GCCGGGGUGGCGGAAUGGUAGACGCGCUAGGUUUAGGACCUAGUGUCCGAAAGGGCGUGAGGGUUCGAGCCCCUCCCCCGGCA
rnacentral:tRNA from 1 species